UACAGAGGUCCCAAGCGUUGUUCGGAUUCACUGGGCGUAAAGGGUGCGUAGGCGGGUCUUUAAGUCAGGGGUGAAAUCCUGGAGCUCAACUCCAGAACUGCCUUUGAUACUGAGGAUCUUGAGUUCGGGAGAGGUGAGUGGAACUGCGAGUGUAGAGGUGAAAUUCGUAGAUAUUCGCAAGAACACCAGUGGCGAAGGCGGCUCACUGGCCCGAUACUGACGCUGAGGUGCGAA
rnacentral:rRNA from 1 species